AAGUCGUAACAAGGUUUCCGUAGGUGAACCUGCGGAAGGAUCAUUAACACUUUUUUUUGAUGUUUUAACUAACAAAACAACAAAAAAAAAACUUAUCCACCCCAUACUUGAACGAACCUUACAAAUUAUUCUUUUUCUAAACCUUUUUUUUUUUCCAAACCCCAAUUUUACCAAAACAAAGCCUGAUAUGCCUAGUUGGAAAAAAGAAAAUCUUUUUCAACUUGAAAUAAAAAACAAAUUGAAAAACAACUCUUAGCAACGGAUAUCUUGGCUCUC
rnacentral:misc_RNA from 1 species